ensembl:miRNA Mir6387 microRNA 6387
AGAAUGACACUCCAGGUGGAAUGGCUUCCCUUGUGUAUCCGGUGGCCUCAGUGAGUCAGAGGUGUGCCCACAAUGCCGGAGGCUCCAUUGCAGUGGGUGUGUUACUCA